UACGUAGGGGGCAAGCGUUGUCCGGAUUUAUUGGGCGUAAAGAGCGUGUAGGCGGCCUGACAGGUCUGCUGUGAAAACUCGAGGCUCAACCUCGAGAUGUCGGCGGAAGCCGUCUGGCUAGAGUCCGGAAGAGGAGAGUGGAAUUCCUGGUGUAGCGGUGAAAUGCGCAGAUAUCAGGAAGAACACCUAUGGCGAAGGCAGCUCUCUGGGACGGUACUGACGCUGAGACGCGAAAGCGUGGGGAGCGAACAGG
rnacentral:rRNA from 1 species